rnacentral:rRNA from 1 species
UACGAAGGGUGCAAACGUUGCUCGGAAUUAUUGGGCGUAAAGCGCACGUAGGCGGCUUAGUAAGUUGGAUGUGAAAUCCCUCGGCUUAACCAAGGAAGUGCAUCCAAAACUACUGAGCUUGAGUACUAAAGAGGAUCGCGGAAUUCCCGGUGUAGAGGUGAAAUGCGUAGAGAUCCGGAGGAACCCCAGAGGCGAAGGCGGCCCCCUGGCUCGUACCUGACGCUCAGCCACGAAAGCAUGGGGAGCGAACGGG